CCUACGGGCGGCUGCAGUGGGGAAUAUUGGACAAUGGGGGGAACCCUGAUCCAGCCAUGCCGCGUGUGUGAAGAAGGCCCUCGGGUUGUAAAGCACUUUCAGUGAGGAAGAACGCCUGGUGGUUAAUACCCAUCAGGAAAGACAUCACUCACAGAAGAAGCACCGGCUAACUCCGUGCCAGCAGCCGCGGUAAUACGGAGGGUGCGAGCGUUAAUCGGAAUUACUGGGCGUAAAGCGCGCGUAGGUGGCUUGAUAAGCCGGUUGUGAAAGCCCCGGGCUCAACCUGGGAACGGCAUCCGGAACUGUCAAGCUAGAGUGCAGGAGAGGAAGGUAGAAUUCCCGGUGUAGCGGUGAAAUGCGUAGAGAUCGGGAGGAAUACCAGUGGCGAAGGCGGCCUUCUGGACUGACACUGACACUGAGGUGCGAAAGCGUGGGUAGCAAACAGGAUUAGAUAUCCUAGUAGUC
rnacentral:rRNA from 1 species